GCCGCCGAGCCGGGGUCAUUGGCUGAGGCUCUAUGGAUAGUGUCAUCCUUAUUUUGUCCUGCUGCUUUGUUUCUCUUCCGGGGGCACCGUUGCUACACAUCCUGGAAUUAAAGGCUGAAAGCAAUGAUAGGCCACUUGAAUUUGGGGUCUUGGUGGAUGGAGACUACCUUCUCAUCCAAAGAUGUGGCCAUCAAGGAGAAGUCUUUCCCAUCGUAAAUAUCCAAGGGUGUGACUGAGCCAUCACUGAACUGGACCCAGCAACUGAUGGCUGCUUCCUAUGGAGAAAAAUAUUUGCUCACUCUGAUGAAGUGAGCUG
rnacentral:lncRNA from 1 species